UGAAUUUUAUUUAGAAAAAAAAGCAAACACCACAAUCACCACACACUAUACCUUCCAACCCACAAAUUAACUCAAGAGGGUGGAAGAGGCAUGAGAUACAGAAAAAAUCACUUAAGUUGAAGCACAGUCAGAAGAAAGCUGAUAUUGCAGAACUCACAUCACACUGUAAACCAUAUAGCAGCGGUAUAGCAAUAUUACUGAAUCUACAUACACACAAAGUGCACAGUUUAAGCAACCUGUGAUACAAAAGAACAUUAUUCCAGUUCCAGGUCCUGUAUGGAAUGCAUUAACACUAGGGAUUUAGGCUUUCGUUUACAAGAAAGUGCACUGCUGUAGCUAAAGGAGCAUAGCCAGAACAGCCCUCUGAAGCAACUCUUAUUUAAGUUCUCAUGUAAGUAAACAUAAAAAGGGCCACGGCAAACAGCUCACCCCCUCUCUUGUGCCCUGGCCGCAGUUUCCUGAGCCCCACAUGGACAGAGAAGCUGCCAAAACUGAGCGUGUUCCUGCUGCCAACAAGUGGAGAUGAGAACUGCAGGCUUCAGAAGGCAGGGCCGAGACCAAUCACAACUUCUGCAUCGUUGAAUGACACCGGGAGCCCUGCCUCUAGAACUUUUGUUAUUUUUCCCCUCAGCCUCCUUCAGUUGUUCCCAGCACUUGGUCACAGACUCGGACAGGCUACCAGAGACCCGCAGGCAGCUGCCGCCACGCUCCCAACAGCCAGCAGCAGAGGUGGUGACAGCGUCAUGGAGGACUAACAAGCAAGGUCACCACCAGCCACAGACAGGCAUCCUGGCCUCCAGCCCUAACACAAGGCUUCAGGUGUGCUUGAACUAGCAGUAAUGGGAGGAGAAGGGUGGAAAGCAACCCCAGACUUCUCACACGCCACAAAGGACAGAAGGAUUAGGAUCUAAAAAGACAGGACCUGGAAAGCCGCCCAAAGGGAAGAGCGACCUCCACUUCCAACCCUAAUGCAAGGAUCCACUUGGGAGAGGGGCUAGCACUUGGACUAAGGCUGUGCUGCGUGCCAGCCAUCGCGCUGCUCUUACUGCCUGCUACAUGUAUUAAAAACACACUUCUGUGCUGAACAGUGUCUAGAGCCUGUUGUUACACAGCUGUGCAUGACCUAAUUUACCUGUUCAGUCAAGAGAUGUCUGUUCUGACUGGUGCAGGGAACUGCCUCUCCAGAGGGCUGGAAUUUGGAAAAACAAGAAGGCUUGUGGGAACACUCAGAUUUUUUUUUUUUUAGAAAGGAAAAAAUCGAUAAUUUUUUUCAUAAUUGACAGAAACUAAGAGCAGGUGAACAGCUGAGGACAGUGAAAUCUGUGUGACUCUGCACUGCUUACCACUGAGCAAACAAUCCAGAGGGCUGCUGCGAGCACAAGAGGGCAGACCAACGCACAUUAUGGAUCUUGCUACCAACAGAGGUCUCAACCUGCUGCUCAAUUUCCUGCUCAUAGUCUUGGUUUUAGUGCUCGUGUUCAUCCUUGUGAAGCUGAUGUGAAUCUCUAGGAGGUUCCGCUUUCUUUCCACAACUUGUUCUGAGGGCUUGGGGUUCUUUUUGCAAUGAUAACAUAAGGAGAUCAAACAAUUUAUCUGAUCAGAAAUAUGCCAAGACCGCACAGACUGAAGUAUUUGACAGAGGAAGUGUUCAGAGAGUUUUUUUUUAAUCAGAAGUGAACCUAAAAGCUACACACAAUUAUAUCCUGCCACUGAGUAAGGAAAGCACCGAGAGCCUUGCUGAGUACAGAAGAAAAUCCAAGUACACGUAAGCAGUUACUUUAGUUUUUCAAAUGCUACAGUCAACUUGCAUUUAAAGACCUUGCAAAAGAUCAGCAUCCUUCAAAAAACAACUUCUGCAACAAUGUAAUUUUAAAAGUGGGAUUCCCACUGCACGCCUACUUCACCAGUAGCAGGGGAGGAAGGCAGAGUGAAACACCUGCACUGAGUAGGUAGCAUGCAUCAGAUCACCCAUGGAGAGCAAAAGCACAGACACCAGGGAUGGAAAAGGAAUACCCACGAACUGUGGUUUGCAGCAACUGAGAUGCAGACAGGUUACAUUUAAAUAUGAACAUGUAAUUUUUAGGGACACCGUUUUUGGCACCUGUGGUUCACAGCAACACCUUAAAAGCCAGAAGCCAUUCAUGUUACGCAGCAGUAUCAGAAGUAGCUGUUAGAUAUAAAACAAAACAAAAACAAACAAGGGCCAGUAGCAAGGGUUAUAUAUCUGAAUCCUUUAGCAUUGCCGCAUACAUGAGCUGUCACUGCCUCUUCACAACAGCAACAAGAGUGCUGCAUCCUCAGCAAGUCAGAUUCACCACUUAUGCACUGGUCAAGAGUGCCACGUGGAGCCCUCGAGCUGUUUGACAUGCUUCUUGUAACUCACCAGCAGAGUCGCCCACGUAUAGCUCAUCCUCACAUCAAGUCUGCAAUGAAAGCUUCCCAAGGGACCUCCCUCUACGGCCCUUCACAGGAUGACCUGCUUUCCCCACACCUCCUGGGAAAGGCAGUGACCAAGGAGAGCUCCUUUCUACUUCCUUCAUUUGCCCAGCAGGCAGCCCUAAGACACACAGGGAGAGAAGGACGCAACAAGUAGAUUACAGACACUACACUGAGGCCAAGAAGUCUGCUCUUUAGCAUCUGUCUUUCCCCCAACAAACCGGGAACCAAGUAUAACAACAUACACGUAUUGUACAGGAAAUUUAAUGCCAUGCACACGCAUACACACGGGACUGUUGGUAUGCAAAAUGCAAGUGUUGCCCACAGGUGGGGAAAAUCCAGUUCCCAGCUCUCUAACGACAGAAGAAUUCUUUGGUUCAGCAGGGAUGCUGUUGAUACCACAGGCUCCCUCUACAUUGCAGAGCUGACCUACUCCGACUCCACACAGGACUGUCACACCACUACUGCUGUUGUGGCUGGUUCAGGCAUCCAGAACAGAAGAGACCAUAUCGGCUGGAUCUACAAAAAGACUUACCACAGAAGGAAGACAAUAUGCUAAGAGAAACAAUGCUUCACGCAGGUCCACCAUGACCCGGCACCCAUGUCCCACACCACAUUGUCUCCUCCAGCGCCGGGACACUAUUAGGUGGGACAGCACUGACAGGUCAAAUGGAAGAUUUCUCUUGUGCUUUGAAAUGCAAUAAAAAUUUAAAAUAGCUUCUGAUUUUUAAGUCGAUACAUACUAUUUGUAUAUAAAGCAGAAAACUUCACACAGUAAUAUCACUGUAACCACUUUUUCACUUAUUUUUAUUAUCUUGAAAUAUUCUGAUUUCACAUCCAUAGAUUUACGUACAGAGGAUAUAUGUUGUAACAGUUAUGUGGUUCCAUAUUAUUUAGAAGGAUUUCUGCUAGUACUUGAUACAGAUAAGAUGAAAGAUUGAGAAAUUAAGAAAUUGAUAUGAAGCCCACUCUAGGCUAAAGAGUAAAAAUUGGUUUUCAAGCAAAAUGGCUACUCGUUGAUUACACACAGAGUAUUUUAUGGCUGCUCUUCUGCAUAAUGAAGAGUUUCCUUACCUUAUGGAAAUUACUCUCACAGCUGAACAGCCAAAAUGAGUUAGGUGAGCUAGCAUUUUAUUAAAAGGAAUCUUUUUUUUAAAGGACAAAAUUGAGUCUACUGACUCCACCUAUCACUUAUUUCCAGUUCUAAUAUUAUGCACAAACUCCACCAUUAGGAUGUAGCUACCCCAUGAAACAACACCAAGCUUCUCCCAAACAGCAGUGAAAAUCACAGAACCUUAAAUAAAUGUUGAAACAUGCUGCUGAAACUGAAACAUGCAUUCUCCUGGGAUGACGCACAAAAUUGGAAGAGCUAUCAGCUAUCCAAUGCCAAGCCUCUUUCUGUAAUCAGGCAUGGUCCAAGCUUAGUUUACCACCAUCUGCUAGCACUUAGACUGAGCCCACGUAUUCACUAUGAGUUGAGUACAGUUGUCAGCCUGCGACCAACUUCACAGCAAAAGAAACAGAGCAUAAAAGCUCACAGCAGUGAACUAAUACUGUUAACCACUGUUAAGUAGUAAUUCUGCACGUUUAGAAGUUUUAUCCUGCUGAAAAGUAUAUUUUCAUCAAAAUUUAACUUGGGAAAAACACUGAAUGAUUUUCUUCCCCCACUUUUCUGGCCUGUCAGAAUCAUAAGGAAAAAAAGUACUUUUAAGUUCACAUUUCAGAAUAAAAUUCAGUGACAACAA